AUAUAAAGCCAUCAAGUAAGGUCUGUUAUCAAUAGCUAGUUACAUAUAUCUCAGGAAUAAAUGCUUUGAUAAACAUUAUACAGUGUUCUUGUCAUUUGAUUGGUCUCGUGUUUUGUUUAGUGUCAAUUAUCCUCAUAUUAAUAUGAAGUUGGGCGCGUGCAUCUGUUCGCUGUUGGUGGUGGCCUGUCAAGCUAACAAUGGUGCGACACCAACUACAGUAAACAAUUACGUAGAAACAAACAACAACAAUUACAAUAUUAAUUACAACAAUUACAACUUAAAUAACAACAUGUACAAUCCGAACGCGUUUUACAACAACAUGCAACAACAAUACCAAAACGCUAUGUUUGGUCCUUAUUAUAGAGCAUACAGACCAAAUCUUGUUGAGGGCAUACUUCAUACUGUUUCUGACACUGUGUGGAAUAUUGGAAGCCUCUUAGGACAUCGGCAUUACUAAAAGAUAUUAUAGAAAUAAUGACAGUAGUAUAUCAAAGAAUUACCUACCUUCGUACUAAUGACAACAUUAUAUGGGACUUGCCAUUGGCUUUAGUUAUAAAUGUUAACGAAAAAUUGUAAACACCGUUAGAUUGUAAUCUAUCUCGCGAGAUUAUAAACUGUCGAAAGAUUGUGAACCUCAGCGUACUGCUUACAAUUUAA